GACGAACGCUGGCGGCGUGCUUAACACAUGCAAGUCGAACGGAAAGGCCCUGCUUUUGUGGGGUGCUCGAGUGGCGAACGGGUGAGUAGCACGUGAGUAACCUGCCCUUGACUUUGGGAUAACUUCAGGAAACUGGGGCUAAUACCGGAUAGGAGCUCCUGCUGCAUGGUGGGGGUUGGAAAGUUUCGGCGGUUGGGGAUGGACUCGCGGCUUAUCAGCUUGUUGGUGGGGUAGUGGCUUACCAAGGCUUUGACGGGUAGCCGGCCUGAGAGGGUGACCGGCCACAUUGGGACUGAGAUACGGCCCAGGCUCCUACGGGAGGCAGCAGUGGGGAAUAUUGCACAAUGGGCGGAAGCCUGAUGCAGCAACGCCGCGUGCGGGAUGACGGCCUUCGGGUUGUAAACCGCUUUCGCCUGUGACGAAGCGUGAGUGACGGUAAUGGGUAAAGAAGCACCGGCUAACUACGUG
rnacentral:rRNA from 1 species